AACGAGAAAAUGAAAACGAUUCAAUGAACGGAAGCUGAGAGCUAGGGUGAAGGAAAUGAAGGAGGGUAUCUGAGAUCGGUUCUUCUACUGCAGAAAUUCUGGGAGGGUCCUUUUUGCUUAAGUUUUAGACAGUGUAUUGUGCAGAACACAAGAUGGCUUCUACAUCAACUAGUGAUCAUAUAGAUGAUGUUCGUACAUGUCACCGAUUAUUGAGGAUUAUUUUGUUGAAUUGAAGUCACAAAUGGGCUACAAACCACUUUGGAGAAGUAAAAGUGGAUAGAAAUAGACAAUGCUAUCUUUACUAAGUUUGGUAAGAGAUACAUUGUUCCGAAGUUGGAAACUUGAUUCCAUUGUUUGUGUAAGUUUCAUAAGGAAUUUGAGAGGCUAAUGUCGUCUCAUCCCGAUAUUGGAAUCAAGUAGAAUAAGGUGGCUUGGGAGUUAGGAGCCUGUAAUGAAUUUGUUUUUAGAAUGUGAAUUUUUUGUUCAGCGUUUGUGGAUUUUUGAAGUAGCCAUUAGCUAGAUAGUUUAUGAUCAUGUUUUAUUUGGCUUGUUUUUGAUCAAUUUAUGAUCGUGUCUUCUAGGAAUGUGUUUACCAAUACUGCAGAAACUUGUUCGCAGGGUGAGUGAAUCAUUUUUUGCUUUUGAUCAGUUUAUGCUUUUGGUCCAUGAUGCGUACAUGGAUCUCAAUCUUUGUCUUGUUGUACAUGUAAAUAGAGCUUAUAGUUGUUUCCAUUCUAAUUUUGUGGUUUACUGGGCAUUCUUUGAUUUGAUCACAAAUUACAGAGGUUAGCUUGCUCCUGAUGUGGAGAUGGUUAGUUAACAGAUUAUCAAUUCUAGUACUUGGCUUAUUUGUAUGAUUUCUAUUUUAGGGAGCAUUGGCCGCAUCAAAAUUUCAUCUGCCUAUCUAGAUUAAGUGCACUGCCAUAAAUUGAAUAUAUUGAUCCUGCAAGAAGCACGUUCAGUUCCAUAACUGGCCUCAUCUGGUCGAUUGACGAUGCUUGGUUUUGAUGCGAUGAGCACCAUCCACGAAGCAAGUGAACAAGAUCCUUCAACAGAUACUUUGGCUGGAUAUAUCUGCUGAUACUGUGGUGGGUGGUGCCAUCAUGUCUAGGGAUUUCUCGGGUGGACAAAAGAAGCGUAUGCAACAGCCAACAGGAGAAAUUUUGGUGGGGCUAGAAAAUGCUCUCUUCGUGAUUUCCUUUUCUCUAAUACAGCGUCUACCCGGAGUUGAUCCUGUCACUGGUCAAUCCACAGUCGGAAAGGCCCUUCUCAAGUCCAAAGGCUUGUUUCGGAUUUGUGUUGGGCACUGUUUGCGUUUUCUGAUCUCUUCAACGUUCUUUUCAUGCUGGCAUUCAUUUAAGCCCUUUUGGUAUGUCUAAAGUGUUGAUUGGGAAUGAGGAUGAUGAUGACAGUAAGAAGUCAAAGAACAUCCGAUUGCAGGAGAUUACUGGUUAAAAUGUAACAGAACCAAAAAGAGGAAUAGUUCUACCUUUGCAGCCUCUUUUGGCCAUGUGAAUUACUAUGUCGAUAUGCCUGCUGAAUCGAAGUCCCAAGGAAUCCAAGAAACUCAGUCUCCAGUUUAAAGAUGUUAGCAGGGCUUUCAGGCCAGGUGUAUUGACAGCACUAGUUGGUGUUAGUUCUAGCUGGAGAAAUUAUCGUGAUAAAUGUUCUAGCUGGUAGAAAACUGGAGGGUACAUUGAAGGAACAUUGGAACAGUUACAUAUCUGGAUAACCAUACCAAGUAGCAUUUGCUCUUGUUAGUGAUUACUGUGAAUAAAAUGAUUGUUCAUUUACAUAGUUUCGUCCAGCUGCACCUAGUCUACGAUAUGGGUGCAGGCAAAAAAGCUGAUAUGGGAGAGUUUAGACUUUUUUGUGA